GGGCGGUUGGCGCAGUUGGAAGCGCAUCUCGUUUACACCGAGAGGGUCGUGGGUUCGAGCCCUACACCGCCCACCA
rnacentral:tRNA from 1 species